rnacentral:rRNA from 1 species
CUUGUACGCACCGCCCGUCACACCAUGGGAGCGGGUUCUGCCAGAAGUAGUUAGCCUAACCGCAAGGAGGGCGAUUACCACGGCAGGGUUCGUGACUGGGGUG